GUUGGACACCAAGCCUUUGUAAAGCUCCUUCGACGAGUCGAGUAGUUUGGGAAUGCUGCUCAAAAUGGGAGGUAUAUUUCUUCUAAAGCUAAAUAUUGGCCAGAGACCGAUAGCGCACAAGUAGAGUGAUCGAAAGAUGAAAAGCACUUUGAAAAGAGGGUUAAACAGCACGUGAAAUUGUUAAAAGGGAAGCGCUUGUGACCAGACUUGCG
rnacentral:ncRNA from 1 species